rnacentral:piRNA from 1 species
UNCCUUGUGGCUCGAUCUUGUCCCCAGGA